rnacentral:rRNA from 1 species
GAUGAACGCUGGCGGCGUGCCUAAUACAUGCAAGUCGAGCGAACAUAUAAUUAGCUUGCUCCUUUGACGUUAGCGUCGGACAUGUGAGUAACACGUGUGUCACCUACCUAUAAUACUGGGAUCACUUCGGUAAACCUGAGCUAAUACCGGAUAACAUUUCGAACCGCAUGGUUCUAAAGUUAAAGAUGUCUUUGCUAUCACUUAUUGACUUACCCUCGCCUUAUUAUCUAGUUGGUCAGCUAACUGCUUACCAAGGCGACGAUACGUAGCCGACCUGACUGGGUGAUCGGCCACACUGGAACUGAGACACGGUCCAGACUCCUACGGGAGGCAGCAGUAGGCAAUCUUACGUAAUAGGCGCAAGCCUGACGGAGCACCGCAGCGUGAGUGAUGAAGGGUUUCGGCUCGUAAAACUCUGUUAUUAGGGAAGACCAAAUGUGUAAGUAACUGUGCACGUCUUGACGGUACCUAAUCAGAAAGCCACGACUCACUACGUG